rnacentral:rRNA from 1 species
AACAUGUCUCUUUGAAAUUAAUUUAAUAUAAGAGUCGGGCCUGCUCAAUGAUUUUAUAUUAAAUAGCUGCGGUAUUAUAACUGUACUAAGGUAGCAUAAUAAUUUGCCUUAUAAAUUAAGGCUAGAAUGAAUGGUUUGACGAAAAUUUAACUGUCUCUAUUUUAUUUAUUAGAAAUUAAUUUUUAUAGUGAAAAAGCUUGGAUAUAUUAGAGGGACGAGAAGACCCUAUUGAGCUUAAAGUUGUUAUAAAAAAUAUUAGUAGUAUUUAAUUAGUAUUAUUAGUUUAUUUGUAUUUAUUAAUUUAAUUUUGAUUGGGGUGAUCAAGGAAGAAAAUUUUUAUUAAUAACUUCCUUAAAUUUAGUAUAUAUAUAUAAAUUAAUAAACCAUAAUUUUGCUUAGAAGAUAAGUUACCAUAGGGAUAACAGCGUAAUUUUUUUUGAGAGUUCAUAUUGAGAAAAAAGAUUGCGACCUCGAUGUUGGAUUAAAUAUAACCUUAAGGUGGAGAAGCUUUAUUAGGUGAAUCUGUUCGAUUUUUAAAAUUUUACAUGAUC